rnacentral:rRNA from 1 species
CGUAGGUGGCAAGCGUUGUCCGGAAUUAUUGGGCGUAAAGCGCGCGCAGGUGGGAUAAUAAGUCUGAUGUUAAAGUUCGGGGCUCAACCCCGUGAAGCAUUUGGAUACUGUUAUUCUUGAGUGCAGGAGAGGAAAGUGGAAUUCCUAGUGUAGCGGUGAAAUGCGUAGAUAUUAGGAGGAACACCAGUGGCGAAGGCGACUUUCUGGACUGUGUCUGACACUGAGGCGCGAAAGCCAGGGUAGUGAACGGGAUUAGAUACCCCGGUAAUCCUGGCCGUAAACGAUGGGUACUAGGUGUUGGGGGUAUCGACCCCUCCAGUGCCGGAGUUAACGCAAUAAGUACCCCGCCUGGGGAGUACGGCCGCAAGGUU